CAAAGCAUUUCAUGGACACUGAAUCAGCACCAGAAAGUUUCCAGGCAGAGGACCCUCAGUUUAAACCAAGACAGAAGCUCCUCAAAGUCGUGAAUGGGGCUCCUCUUGCUUCAGGGAGGUCUUUCGGGGGAUGAAGACAGUAGCCCGUGUUCCUUCUCCAGUUGUAGGAACAUUUCGGGAGCCCCAGGAAGAUCGUGUUUGCAGUCGAGCUCAUAAACCCUGACAUCUGUGUGAAGCUGCCAUUAUUUCGGAAGACUCACACCAGGAUCAGAAUAGCGAGAUUCUGUCUGGCUUGCAUUCCGGGGGCUCUGCCUCCCAGGGAAGGGCUUCCCUUGCCUGCUGUUUCCUCGGACCCGCGCAGGGGGAGGCCAGCUUGGCAGGAAGACAGCAAGCAGCAGAGGUCUCCCGGACUCUCAGCUGUCUGGCCGUGGGUGCCACUGCAGCCCCUUCCUCCCCGAGGACUGGACAGGACGUGGCUCAGAGACUCCUGGAGGUCACCUGGCCCUGGUUCUGCUCAGCAGAGGGACCCCCUGAACCCGCUUCCCCAGAGCAUGGGGUUCCUGUUGGGGGAUGGUGAGGGGACCCCGGGAGGAUGCGGAUGGACCAUUCCCAUCACUCCCUGGAGCAGCAGCUGGUGCUGGGGCGGGAGGGGCAGAGGCCUUGGGAACCACUGGGGCCGCCCUCAGGCCUCAGGUCUGCCCCCUAACCAACUGUGAAUUUCGGACACAUCCUCCCACAUGGGAAGUCACUGGGCU